rnacentral:rRNA from 1 species
GACAGAGGGUGCGAACGUUGUUCGGAAUUACUGGGCGUAAAGCGCGUGUAGGCUGUUCGGAAAGUCGAGUGUGAAAGCCCCCGGCUCAACUGGGGAGGGUCACUCGAUACUGAUCGACUCGAAGGCAGGAGAGGGUAGUGGAAUUCCCGGUGUAGUGGUGAAAUGCGUAGAUAUCGGGAGGAACACCAGUGGCGAAGGCGACUACCUGGCCUGUUCUUGACGCUGAGGCGCGAAAGCUAGGGGAGCAAACGGG